rnacentral:rRNA from 1 species
UACGUAGGGCGCAAGCGUUGUCCGGAAUUAUUGGGCGUAAAGAGCUCGUAGGCGGUUUGUCGCGUCGGAUGUGAAAACCCGGGGCUUAACCCCGGGCCUGCAUUCGAUACGGGCUGACUAGAGUACGGCAGGGGAGACUGGAAUUCCUGGUGUAGCGGUGAAAUGCGUAGAUAUCUGGAGGAACACCGGUGGCGAAGGCGGCAUCCUGGACCGGCAUUGACGCUGAGGCGCGAAAGCCAGGGGAGCAAACGGG